UAGGGAAUCUUCCACAAUGGACGCAAGUCUGAUGGAGCAACGCCGCGUGAGUGAAGAAGGCUUUCGGGUCGUAAAACUCUGUUAUUGAAGAAGAACGUGCGUGACAGUAACUGGUCAUGCAGUGACGGUAUUCAAUCAGAAAGUCACGGCUAACUACGUGCCAGCAGCCGCGGUAAUACGUAGGUGGCAAGCGUUGUCCGGAUUUAUUGGGCGUAAAGCGAGUGCAGGCGGUCUUUUAAGUCUGAUGUGAAAGCCUUCGGCUUAACCGAAGAAGGGCAUCGGAAACUGGGAGACUUGAGUGCAGA
rnacentral:rRNA from 1 species